GACAGAGGGUGCAAGCGUUGUUCGGAAUCAUUGGGCGUAAAGCGCACGUAGGCGGCUGCGUAAGUCAGAUGUGAAAGCCCUGGGCUCAACCCAGGAAGUGCAUCUGAUACUGCGCAGCUUGAGUCUCGGAGAGGGUGGUGGAAUUCCUGGUGUAGAGGUGAAAUUCGUAGAUAUCAGGAGGAACACCGGUGGCGAAGGCGACCACCUGGACGAAGACUGACGCUGAGGUGCGAAAGCGUGGGGAGCAAACAGG
rnacentral:rRNA from 1 species